rnacentral:rRNA from 1 species
GGGCUGCAGUGGGGAAUUUUGGACAAUGGGCGCAAGCCUGAUCCAGCCAUUCCGCGUGAGUGAAGAAGGCCUUCGGGUUGUAAAGCUCUUUCGCAAGGGAAGAAAACUUAACCUCUAACAUAGGUUGAGGCUGACGGUACCUUGAUAAGAAGCACCGGCUAACUACGUGCCAGCAGCCGCGGUAAUACGUAGGGUGCGAGCGUUAAUCGGAAUUACUGGGCGUAAAGCGUGCGCAGGCGGCCUGAUAAGUCAGAUGUGAAAUCCCCGAGCUCAACUUGGGAACUGCGUUUGAAACUAUCAAGCUAGAAUAUGUCAGAGGGGGGUAGAAUUCCACGUGUAGCAGUGAAAUGCGUAGAGAUGUGGAGGAAUACCAAUGGCGAAGGCAGCCCCCUGGGAUAAUAUUGACGCUCAUGCACGAAAGCGUGGGGAGCAAACAGGAUUAGAUACCCCGGUAGUC